rnacentral:rRNA from 1 species
UACGUAGGGUGCAAGCGUUAAUCGGAAUUACUGGGCGUAAAGGGUGCGCAGGCGGUUUUGUAAGUCAGAUGUGAAAUCCCCGGGCUUAACCUGGGAACUGCGUUUGAAACUACAAGACUAGAGUGUGGCAGAGGGGGGUGGAAUUCCAUGUGUAGCAGUGAAAUGCGUAGAGAUAUGGAAGAACAUCGAUGGCGAAGGCAACCCCCUGGGUUAACACUGACGCUCAGGCACGAAAGCGUGGGGAGCAAACAGGAUUAGAUACCCUGGUAGUCCACGCCCUAAACUAUGUCAACUAGUUGUCGGAGGGUAACUCCUUCGGUAACGCAGCUAACGCGUGAAGUAGACCGCCUGGGGAGUACGGUCGCAAGAUUAAAACUCAAAUGAAUUGACGG